UACGUAGGGUGCGAGCGUUUGUCCGGAAUUAUUGGGCGUAAAGGGCUCGUAGGCGGUCUGUCACGUCGGGGAGUGAAAACACGGGGGCUUAACCCCGUGCCUGCUUCCGAUACGGGCAGACUAGAGGUAUGCAGGGGAGAACGGAAAUUCCUGGUGUAGCGGUGAAAAUGCGUAGAGAUCCGGAAGAACACCAAAGGCGAAGGCACCAUCCUGGGGGAGUCACUGACGCUCGG
rnacentral:rRNA from 1 species